CAAGACGUAGCUAUAAAACAAAGCAUUCAGCUUACGCCUGAAAGAUAUCCACCCACUGGAUCGUCUUGA
rnacentral:tRNA from 1 species